UUUUGUGGUAUGCCUUUUCAUUUGAAGAAAUAAAAUAGCAAUAACCCUUCUAAAGUUCAACCGUAUAAUGCAUGCAUGCAUAUAUUUAAACAUUAACAUUAGCAAAGGAAAAAUUAUAAGCGAAUUGUGUUUAUCUUCACUACAAUCAAUCAACAUUAAUUUUUACCACGUUUAGUUUAAUUAAAAUUAAAUGAAUAAUAUUAUUUGGGAUAUUUGAAACCUCUCAACAAUUUUGACCCAUGCGCUUGGUUAUUUGGAUCAAUGUUUAAGCGCAAGUGCCAAAAGGACAAAAUUGUAGGAUACACACACAAAAUUCUAGAACGUCGACGUUUACGAUCGUGUCCUGUUUUAAGAAAAUGCCAUCCCCGUGCGAUGAUUGCAAAGAGACCUGCAGCGAAGGAAAUUCACAAUGCGGCAAGGAUUGCAAAUGUGGAGACGCCUGCAAAUGCUCUGAUGCAACAGGCAAGAAAUGUGGAAAAGGGAGUGGGGAGUCAGAUAAAUAAUUGCUGUCAUGCUUUUAAACAUAUAUGAUUUAAGACCAAUUUUACUGUAUUCUAUUGUUUUAGCGAAUAGUUGUCUUUUAAAUGUUGUGUGAUAAAACAAUAAAUGAUUAUCGAAGACUA